rnacentral:rRNA from 1 species
AGGGGAAUAUUGCACAAUGGGCGCAAGCCUGAUGCAGCGACGCCGCGUGAGGGAUGACGGCCUUCGGGUUGUAAACCUCUUUCAGCUCCGACGAAGCGCAAGUGACGGUAGGAGCAGAAGAAGCACCGGCCAACUACGUGCCAGCAGCCGCGGUAAUACGGAGGGUGCAAGCGUUGUCCGGAAUUACUGGGCGUAAAGAGCUCGUAGGCGGUUUGUCGCGUCGUCAGUGAAAUUCUGCAGCUUAACUGCAGGCGUGCAGGCGAUACGGGCAGACUUGAGUACUACAGUGGAGAAUGGAAUUCCUGGUGUAGCGGUGAAAUGCGCAGAUAUCGGAAGGAACACCGGUGGCGAAGGCGGGUCUCUGGGUAGUAAAUGACACUGAGGAGCGAAAGCGUGGGUUGCGAACAGG